CGAAUUUCUAUAGAUAACGUGAAAUUCGAUAAGCGCACAUUAACGACUUAUGUCGAUACCAAAUUAACUAUUCGCUGUCACGAUUAAAGCAUACACCUAUUAUAAUGGGCAUAGAGUAUACUGCAGUUGUAGACACUGCUGCGGUACGGUCACAGAGUAUAUAUAUAUGUAUUAUGGUUGAACGGUAUUAUCUAAUUUUAUCUAAUUAUGAAAGAGUUUCGUGUGACUGUGUGAGAGAGAUCGUUAGUGGAUACCUCGAACUAUGAUUAUAACUAUAACUAUAAUCAUAGUUCGUGGUGGAUACUGGAUACACCGGCGACAGACAGAGACCGUCACGCGAAACGAGUUGCCUAAUUGCCAAUAAUUGGCGAUACGCCCGGUCAAAUACUAUACCUAAAUCUAUAGUAUUUGGUCAGGUGUCGUACUUAAUUAAUAAUUUUGUGGAGUGAUAUGGAAAAUACGUUUUUAUCGCAGGCAUGAUGUGUUACCGGUAACGACAGAAAACAUAUUUCAUUUGCCUUUGGACGCUCAGCGAGUAACUAAAUGUUUUUAAUUGCUCAUUACAUGUUAUAGUUCUAUCAAGAUUUUCUAGGAAGAAAUUUGAGUUCAAGAGCGUUCAAGAAGUUAUAUGUGCUAGGUAUGUGCAAUAUACAAGCGAUACGUAUCGGACUCAGACUUCGAUACGAGCCGAAUGGAAAUGAGCACGUUCAUAAAUAUUUGGGCCGCAGUGUACAGGUGUAAAAUGCAAAUAUAUACCAGCAAGCACAGUCUGUCCGCCGGUAAUCUAUCUUGCUCGCUAGUCAACCAACAGAAAUGUACAUUGAAGACGGAUGCCUUUAUUUGAUCCUUCGAAACUAUUUAGUCCACUGCAAUGGAAAAAGUCAGUCAAAGAUUUUGAACCAAAAAUGCAUCAAUGUACUCAAAAUCAAGUACGAAUACGGAAAAAAGAAUUUAAUUUAAAUGAAAAUUCUCCAGUGUUGUUUAUUUGUAAAGUCUUCACAUAACACCAAAUCGCAUGGCAAUGAAUGUAUUUGAAACCAAUCAUACGUAUAACAACAACCAACUUCUCCAGAGCACUUCAGCUGUACACUGGAAAGGCCGCAGAGAUGUAUACAUGUUGACAACUAUGUAAAUAUAAAGAUAAAAUGAUAGCCACUAAAAUAUUGAUAGAGCUACUGGGGUGGAAUAUUUAUAACCAGAGAGUGUAAUAAGCUACAAUGGCAAUAUGGGUGGUAUUGAUAAAACUGAUAUGCCUUUAAGCUCUGAUGAAUGUGUGCACCAUACCAUGAAACGGGAAAAUCUUUUUUUUUCAUAUAGUUGAUAUGUCUACUGAAUUCAGCUUAUAAAAUGGUGCCAGGUGUAAUGACAACAAAAUAUAGAAGAAGGAAACUGACUUUACAGGAAAGCACUUACAACAUUUGGACUUUCCAGAAUUUGUGCCAUUUACACCAUAAAAAAAAAAAAGAAGUCGAUUUUGUUUGCAGCCACAUUAAGGAAAUCAGAAAAGAAAAGAUUCCAUAUGCCGCUGUAUUGAAUGUAAUGUUGGUUCAUGUAUUAGCCCUUGUUUUAAAAUUUACCACUUAAAAUAAUUUUAAAACAAUUUUUACUUAAUACACUUAUAAUGAAUUAUAA